UACGUAGGGUGCGAGCGUUAAUCGGAAUUACUGGGCGUAAAGCGUGCGCAGGCGGCUUCGCAAGUCAGGCGUGAAAUCCCCGGGCUUAACCUGGGAACUGCAUUUGUGACUGGCAAGCUAGAGUAUGGCAGAGGGGGGGUAGAAUUCCACGUGUAGCAGUGAAAUGCGUAGAGAUGUGGAGGAAUACCGAUGGCGAAGGCAGCCCCCUGGGCCAAUACUGACGCCCCAUGCACGAAAGGCGUGGGGAGCAA
rnacentral:rRNA from 1 species